rnacentral:rRNA from 1 species
AUUGAACGCUGGCGGCAUGCCUUACACAUGCAAGUCGAACGGCAGCACGGGGGCAACCCUGGUGGCGAGUGGCGAACGGGUGAGUAACACAUCGGAACGUGCCCAGUAGUGGGGGAUAGCUCGGCGAAAGCCGGAUUAAUACCGCAUACGACCUACGGGUGAAAGCGGGGGAUCGCAAGACCUCGCGCUAUCGGAGCGGCCGAUGUCAGAUUAGGUUGUUGGUGGGGUAAAGGCCACCAAGCCGACGAUCUGUAGCUGGUCUGAGAGGACGACCAGCCACACUGGGACUGAGACACGGCCCAGACUCCUACGGGAGGCAGCAGUGGGGAAUUGUUCGCAAUGGGCGCAAGCCUGACGACGCAACGCCGCGUGGAGGAUGAAGGUCUUCGGAUUGUAAACUCCUGUUGCCCGGGACGAAUGCUCCGACCUAACACGUCGGAGUGUGACGGUACCGGGUGAGGAA